AAAUUGAAGAGUUUGAUCAUGGCUCAGAUUGAACGCUGGCGGCAGGCCUAACACAUGCAAGUCGAGCGGUAGCACAGAGAGCUUGCUCUCGGGUGACGAGCGGCGGACGGGUGAGUAAUGUCUGGGAAGCUGCCUGAUGGAGGGGGAUAACUACUGGAAACGGUAGCUAAUACCGCAUAACGUCGCAAGACCAAAGUGGGGGACCUUCGGGCCUCAUGCCAUCAGAUGUGCCCAGAUGGGAUUAGCUAGUAGGUGGGGUAACGGCUCACCUAGGCGACGAUCCCUAGCUGGUCUGAGAGGAUGACCAGCCACACUGGAACUGAGACACGGUCCAGACUCCUACGGGAGGCAGCAGUGGGGAAUAUUGCACAAUGGGCGCAAGCCUGAUGCAGCCAUGCCGCGUGUGUGAAGAAGGCCUUCGGGUUGUAAAGCACUUUCAGCGGGGAGGAAGGCGUUAAGGUUAAUAACCUUGGCGAUUGACGUUACCCGCAGAAGAAGCACCGGCUAACUCCGUGCCAGCAGCCGCGGUAAUACGGAGGGUGCAAGCGUUAAUCGGAAUUACUGGGCGUAAAGCGCACGCAGGCGGUCUGUCAAGUCGGAUGUGAAAUCCCCGGGCUCAACCUGGGAACUGCAUUCGAAACUGGCAGGCUAGAGUCUUGUAGAGGGGGGUAGAAUUCUAGGUGUAGCGGUGAAAUGCGUAGAGAUCUGGAGGAAUACCGGUGGCGAAGGCGGCCCCCUGGACAAAGACUGACGCUCAGGUGCGAAAGCGUGGGGAGCAAACAGGAUUAGAUACCCUGGUAGUCCACGCCGUAAACGAUGUCGAUUUGGAGGUUGUGCCCUUGAGGCGUGGCUUCCGGAGCUAACGCGUUAAAUCGACCGCCUGGGGAGUACGGCCGCAAGGUUAAAACUCAAAUGAAUUGACGGGGGCCCGCACAAGCGGUGGAGCAUGUGGUUUAAUUCGAUGCAACGCGAAGAACCUUACCUGGUCUUGACAUCCACAGAACUUUCCAGAGAUGGAUUGGUGCCUUCGGGAACUGUGAGACAGGUGCUGCAUGGCUGUCGUCAGCUCGUGUUGUGAAAUGUUGGGUUAAGUCCCGCAACGAGCGCAACCCUUAUCCUUUGUUGCCAGCGGUUCGGCCGGGAACUCAAAGGAGACUGCCAGUGAUAAACUGGAGGAAGGUGGGGAUGACGUCAAGUCAUCAUGGCCCUUACGACCAGGGCUACACACGUGCUACAAUGGCAUAUACAAAGAGAAGCGACCUCGCGAGAGCAAGCGGACCUCAUAAAGUAUGUCGUAGUCCGGAUUGGAGUCUGCAACUCGACUCCAUGAAGUCGGAAUCGCUAGUAAUCGUAGAUCAGAAUGCUACGGUGAAUACGUUCCCGGGCCUUGUACACACCGCCCGUCACACCAUGGGAGUGGGUUGCAAAAGAAGUAGGUAGCUUAACCUUCGGGAGGGCGCUUACCACUUUGUGAUUCAUGACUGGGGUGAAGUCGUAACAAGGUAACCGUAGGGGAACCUGCGGUUGGAUCACCUCCUUA
rnacentral:rRNA from 1 species